CUGUGCAUUGUGCAAAAACAAGUUUACAUGAUAUUAUAAUAUUAAUAUUCUGAGUAGAAUGCUCAGUAGUCAAACGGAUACACACCAGAAAGGUCAUUUCGAAUUGCCACCUUCUGUUAAGUAAAAGUGAGUGAUGGCGAUGCUGCGAGCUCUCUUCUUAUUAGUGACAAUAUUACUAUGUUUGGUCGCUAAUGUCUACUCGAAAAAUGUGGAUGCUGUGAAAUGUCCUACCGAUAAGAUACCAAUAAAAUUAGGAACUGCAAGCGUGUGCGUACCAAAGAACUAUACACUACCCGCAGAAGAGUCGCGACGCUAACAUAAUACCAACUAAAUUAAAGUAAUUAAUUAAGUAGAUUAUCAAUGUAAUGUAAGGAGCAUAUGACGAAAUUGGAAAAAAUAAAUACUCUCAUCAAUCGCUAUAAAUAAGGAUGAAUGUAUUAUAUUUUUAAUAAUAAACAAUUUACUUAUAACAUAUGAGAUGCAAUCUACCUACAACUAUACAUAAUAUGUUGCAUUUCAUUACCUAGUUAUUUAUCAAGAGAAGAAAUGCUAUAAAUUCUACCGAAUGAUCAUAAAUCUAUAUUAUAAUGUAAGCAAUUCAUUAUUCAUUUUGUAAAUGUGUAAUGUUAUCAUUAAAUAUAGAGAAAUUGCUCAUUGGUUAUACCAAAUAGAAGGAGUACAAUUUACCCAACUAGUAAAACACAAAAUAAUCAUUGGAAUGUAAAUAAAAAUAAUUGUAAUUAAGUACUAACUAGGUUUUCGGUAAAUGCUUACCUACACCUUUAUUUUAAUCUAAUCCAAAUCAUAUAUAUUUAGUCAUAGGCAUUAAACUAAAAAAUAAUAAAAAAACUACCUAGAUAUUACAUAAAUGACUUUAUAAAUAACUUUGAAUAGCAAACUAACGGGUCAUCUGAUAAAACGUGCUAGCGUCUAUAAACAAUACCAUAAGAUACUCACAGUACGUUCACGUACAAAGAGUACCAUGAGAGUCAUAGAAUACACUAUGACUCUCAUGGUACUCUUCGUACGUUACCAUUCCUGAGGAGUAUGGUGUUAUGUCUCCAUAUCACGUAUUUUCACUGCUAUAUCCCACCCCUCAAAAUUUAAUACAGCACAUAUAGCUAUUUGACAGGAACAAGUAUGAGACCAGUAACGUAACAGCUUUAAGGGAGACCUAGGCGGACGGUAUCCAGGACUAACCUCAGGCUAUUUGCCCCGCCGGUGUAAACCGAUAGCGCGGGUGGGGUUACCGUUCCAUUAUCACCUAUUAUAAAAAAAACCUCAGGCUAUUACAUUUCUGUUAAGAAUCACACAUCAAGUAAGUCUUCUAAAAGAUCACAUCAAAUUCAACAUUGAUAAUUUUGACUGAACAGAGGAACUGUACCAUGAGAAACUAUCUAUGUCUACUCACUCGAUAGCCCCAGUGAUUUAUGUAUUUUCAUUAAAAUCGGUUAACUAGUUUCGGAGAUUGGCGUGAACGAACAUCGUGAAAAAGAUUUUUUUUAUUAUUUAGUAUGGAGUAUAUAUUGUAUGAGGUACUUAUGAAGAAUAUUAACCUAUCAUCCCAUAACGUCAUGCUUUUGUUAUUUUAAAUCGCAUAGGCGUAGCAUUGUCCUUAAUCUAUGUGCAUAGGUUACCUCACCUGCCUUCAUAGCAUUUCUACGAUUUUAAAGCAGUUAUUUUUAAAUAAAAAAAAAAAAGAACAAGAAUGACUCACUUAAUAUUGUCAUUUUCACAAUAUAUUUUUUCGGUUGUUUUUUAGCUUAUUAUAAGGUUCCUUUUUUUU